rnacentral:rRNA from 1 species
GACGAACGCCGGCGGCAUGCCUAAUACAUGCAAGUCGAGCGAACAGAUGAAGUGCUUGCACUUCUGACGUUAGCGGCGAACGGGUGAGUAACACGUAAGGGAUCUACCUAUAAGCGGGGGAUAACAUUCGGAAACGGGUGCUAAUACCGCAUAAUAUCUUCUUCCGCAUGGAAGAAGAUUGAAAGACGGCUCUGCUGUCACUUAUAGAUGACCUUGCGGUGCAUUAGUUAGUUGGUGGGGUAACGGCCUACCAAGACGAUGAUGCAUAGCCGACCUGAGAGGGUGAACGGCCACAUUGGGACUGAGACACGGCCCAAACUCCUACGGGAGGCAGCAGUAGGGAAUCUUCCGCAAUGGGCGAAAGCCUGACGGAGCAAUGCCGCGUGAGUGAAGAAGGCCUUCGGGUCGUAAAACUCUGUUAUAAGAGAAGAACAAAUUGUAGAGUAACUGCUACAGUCUUGGCGGUAUCUUAUCAGAAAGCCACGGCUAACUACGUGCCAGCAGCCGCCGUAA